AACACAUGUCAAGUCGAGCGCACUCUUCGGAGUGAGCGGCGGACGGGUUAGUAACGCGUGGGAACGUGCCCUUCUCUAAGGAAUAGCCACUGGAAACGGUGAGUAAUACCUUAUACGCCCUUCGGGGGAAAGAUUUAUCGGAGAAGGAUCGGCCCGCGUUAGAUUAGAUAGUUGGUGGGGUAAUGGCCUACCAAGUCUACGAUCUAUAGCUGGUUUUAGAGGAUGAUCAGCAACACUGGGACUGAGACACGGCCCAGACUCCUACGGGAGGCAGCAGUGGGGAAUCUUGGACAAUGGGCGCAAGCCUGAUCCAGCCAUGCCGCGUGAGUGAUGAAGGCCUUAGGGUCGUAAAGCUCUUUCGCCAGAGAUGAUAAUGACAGUAUCUGGUAAAGAAACCCCGGCUAACUCCGUGCCAGCAGCCGCGGUAAUACGGAGGGGGUUAGCGUUGUUCGGAAUUACUGGGCGUAAAGCGCACGUAGGCGGAUCAGAAAGUAUAGGGUGAAAUCCCAGGGCUCAACCCUGGAACUGCCUUGUAAACUCCUGGUCUUGAGUUCGAGAGAGGUGAGUGGAAUUCCGAGUGUAGAGGUGAAAUUCGUAGAUAUUCGGAGGAACACCAGUGGCGAAGGCGGCUCACUGGCUCGAUACUGACGCUGAGGUGCGAAAGUGUGGGGAGCAAACAGGAUUAGAUACCCUGGUAGUCCACACCGUAA
rnacentral:rRNA from 1 species